GUUACUUUUUACCUUAAGGCUUGCAAAACAAUAGGCUUUGUUGGAGAUCCAUUCCCAUCCUGUGGACUUUUCGAUAUAUACACUGGAAAUCCUUGUCAACAGGCUACUUGUCAUAGUAUAAACAUAAAGGAUGUGGAGGCCUCAUCCAAUGAGUUGAAGACCUUUAAAUGAAGACUGAGCACCCCCAAGGAAGAGGGAAUUCUGUCAGCCCACUGCCUUUGGGCUCAAACUGCUAUAUCAACAUUUCCCUGGGGCUCCAGCCUGCUGGCCUACCCUGCAGAUGACAGGCUUGCCAGCCUCCACAAUCAGCCUCCCAUGAAUUUGUACUCAAGACGAGGAUGGCUCUGCCACAAGGCAUGUUCCCAUAGCAUCAAUUAGCUCGUCCCCUAGGUCAACAGGUGAAUGAUGCUGAAGUGGAAGCUGCAUUUCCCAGCAUGUUGAUGCUCUGCGCCCAAGUAACAGCCACCAAAUGCAAGCCCAUUACUGCAGCUGAAGGCAGCAGGCUGCAAGCUGAACACAGUGCUGGACACAAUGCCCACACUCCAGGUCUUUCUCUUAGCACAGGCUGUCCACAUGCUUUGUGUUUGUGCAUUUGGUCCUUGUCCCCAUAACUCAGCAGCCACA